rnacentral:SRP_RNA from 1 species
GCCAGGCAUAGUGGUGUGUGCCUGUAGUCCCAGCUACUGGGGAGGCUGAGGUAGGAAGAUCACUUGAGUCCAGGAGUUCGAGACCAGCCUGGGCAACAUAGUGAGACCCUGCCUCUA